AGCUCCAAUAGCGUAUAUUUAAGUUGUUGCAGUUAAAAAGCUCGUAGUUGGAUUUCGGAUGGUGACGACCGGUCCGCCGUUUCGGUGUGCACUGGUUGUUGGUAUCUUGAUGUCGGGGACGCGCUUCUGGCCUUAACUGGCUGGGACGUGGAGUCGGCGAUGUUACUUUGAAAAAAUUAGAGUGUUCAAAGCAGGCCUACGCUCUGAAUACAUUAGCAUGGAAUAACGCGAUAGGACUCUGGUCUUAUUGUGUUGGUCUUCGAGACCGGAGUAAUGAUUAAGAGGGACAGUUGGGGGCAUUCGUAUUUCAUUGUCAGAGGUGAAAUUCUUGGAUUUAUGAAAGACGAACUUCUGCGAAAGCAUUUGCCAAGGAUGUUUUCAUUA
rnacentral:rRNA from 1 species